GGAAAAUAGCUUAGUGGUAGGUAGAGCAUCUACUUUGCAUGCAGAAGACCCCAGGUUCAGUUCCCAGCAACUCCA